AGCUGCAGCAGUGCCAUUGGUACUGUAAAUGAUACUGGGGAUCAUCCUGUAUCAUGGGAAGCACAGUGACUGAACUAGCUUCUGACAGUGUCUGAACAACUUCUGUGGUUAACUGUGUCUGCUCGUUAAUGUAUUAAUCAGGUGCCCAGUUUUGAUGCCAAGAACCCUGGUGAAUCCGAUAGUGAUGGCUUCUCUCCCACUGUUUGUUCAUGACAAAACCAAUUUCAUUUGUGAUGUCGGUGUUAAUGGAUUUCAUCAAGCAUAAAAGCUGAUUGCCUUAGACUGACUCCAUUCCCUCCUUCAUACCCUCAGACCAAAUUUUAAAACCUUAGUUGUUUCAAAGUUGCAUACUGUGUGCAGAAACAUCAAGUGAUGCUUUAACAGUUAUCACUAUAUAUUUUUCUAAGCUGUACUCAGUUGAUGGCUGGAUUGUAAACUGGUCAUUGAAUUCUAGUAAUAUUUCUUUCAGGAAACUAGAUUUCCUAUAACUGUGGAGUAUUUUUUCUUGACUAGCUGGCUGGUAAUCAGAAAUCCAAGAUUUCUUCAAUAUUUGUUUGAUCUUGAUCUGACUCAUUUCUCUUCCUCUGCACUGAGUUUAAGAAAUGGAAGUAUCCUGAAAUACUGCAUCAGUCCAGUUUCUUUUCAAAUCUUAAUGAAUAUUUUGUGACAAGCUAAUUAGAGAAAUUUAUAACAGUACUAGACCUAGUAAUAAAUUUAUCUGGCAAAGUUAUUAGAUGCUCUACUAUCCUGUGAACAAGAAAAGGAUCUUGUAUGAGUUAAAAAGUGGAGGUAGUGAAAAACAAAUUCGUCUAUUGCUGUUACUGCCAUUGUGGAUGGAAGUUUAAGUGGUUUUAUCUCUAACGAACACUGGAGAAGGGGAAAUAAGCUUGAUUACUUGCUGGCUGAUUCCUGGGUUGAGCUGAGGGCCAGUAGAAUAUUAUUACUGUACCAUGACUUUCACAUUUAGGUUACUUCGUCAAGUCAAAUGACAGGUAUUUCUUCUGUCUGAAUGGGUUGGCAAAUGGCAACUCACUGAGGCUCAUUCAGUGAUGACUCCCUCAGUGAGAUUUCAUGCUGUCCCUGCUCCAGCCAGCUCUUGUCUGAUAUCCUUGCCUUUCCCUGCUGGGAUCUUGUUGAGCUUUAUCAAACUUGAUUCCACAACAUGCUCCUGGAGGUACUGCAGUCUAAAUUAAUAGUGAAAGGCUCCCAUUUUCCAUCAGUCUGCUCUUUCCAGUCUGCUCUUUCCAGACUCAUUCCUGUAGGUCUACCAUGCUUCCACUGCACAGCAGGGAAAUACAGAAGUAUGUGCUGUUGGUAUAACUGAUGAAUCCUGAAGUUUCGCCAAAAUCACUUUUUCGGACAUAGGAUUGUAAGUUGUACCAUGAGGAGAAAAGGGAAUCUUUUUCUUUGAAAAAUUAUUUGUAAGUAAAACUUCAGAUUGAUGUGUUCUUGCGAGUACUCGCAUAUAAAGUAACUCUUUUGCCUAACCUGGUUAUUUGGUUUAUUACAUUGGAGAAUGCCUGGAGGCCUUUGUUCUUCAUUAUUUGAUAUAUGUAGGCUGUACAAAGAGAGGAGGGAAAUGAAAUGUACUUAAUGCUGUACAGUGUAAGAAUAAAGAGCUGAGAGUUAACAUUACCAGUGGAUCCUCUUUGUUAUAUUACAGACUGAAAAAAAAAUUCCUUCCUAGGAAAUGAGUUUUAGUAACUGCCUGUAUUUAUUGUUGAGCUGAUUAUGCAUGUAUGGAGUAAACAAAUCUGUGGUAGUAUAGGGUACAGCCUUGUUGUUUGUUGUGAU